rnacentral:rRNA from 1 species
AUUGAACGCUGGCGGCAUGCGUUACACAUGCAAGUCGAACGGUAACAGGUCUUCGGAUGCUGACGAGUGGCGAACGGGUGAGUAAUACAUCGGAACGUGCCUAGUAGUGGGGGAUAACUACUCGAAAGAGUGGCUAAUACCGCAUGAGAUCUACGGAUGAAAGCAGGGGAUCGUAAGACCUUGUGCUACUAGAGCGGCCGAUGGCAGAUUAGGUAGUUGGUGGGAUAAAAGCUUACCAAGCCGACGAUCUGUAGCUGGUCUGAGAGGACGAUCAGCACACUGGGACUGAGACACGGCCCAGACUCCUACGGGAGGCAGCAGUGGGGAAUUUUGGACAAUGGGCGCAAGCCUGAUCCAGCAAUGCCGCGUGCAGGAUGAAGGCCUUCGGGUUGUAAACUGCUUUUGUACGGAACGAAAAGCCCUGGGUUAAUACCCUGGGGUCAUGACGGUACCGUAAGAAUAAGCACCGGCUAACUACGUGCCAGCAGCCGCCGUAACAC